rnacentral:rRNA from 1 species
AUUGAACGCUGGCGGCAGGCCUAACACAUGCACGUCGAACGAGUGGCGGACGGGUGAGUAAUGUCUGGGAAACUGCCUGAUGGAGGGGGAUAACUCCUGGAAACGGUAGCUAAUACCGCAUACCAUCAGAUGUGCCAAGAUGGGAUUAGCUUGUUGGUGGGGUAACGGCUCACAAAGGCGACGAUCCCUAGCUGGUCUGAGAGGUUGACCAGCCACAAUGGAACUGAGACACGGUCCAGACUCCUACGGGAGGCAGCAGUGGGGAAUAGUGCAGAAUGGGCGCAAGCCUGAUGCAGCCAUGCCGCGUGUAUGAAGAAGGCCUGAGGGUUGUAAAGUACUUUCAGCGGGGAGGCGUUAACCGCAGAAGAAGCACCGGCUAACUCCGUGCCAGCAGCCGAGGUAAUUC